UGGACUGUGUAGCCUGUACCUCUGGAA
rnacentral:piRNA from 1 species